rnacentral:rRNA from 1 species
GACGAACGCUGGCGGCGUGCUUAACACAUGCAAGUCGAACGGAAAGGCCCUGCUUUUGUGGGGUGCUCGAGGGGCGAACGGGUGAGUAACACGUGAGUAACCUGCCCUUGACUUUGGGAUAACUUCAGGAAACUGGGGCUAAGACCGGAUAGGAUCUCCCGCUCCAGGGUGGGGGUUGGAAAGUCUCGGCGGGUGGGGAUGGACUCGCGGCUUACCAGCUAGCUGGUUGGGGAGUGGUAUACCCAGGCAUUGGCGGAUCACCGGCAUGAGAGGGUGAACGGGCUCCAGGCGACUGCGAGAGGCCCCAGAGUCGAACGGUGGGCAGUAGGCGCGAGUCUGACACAGUCAGCGGAAGUGUGAGGCGGAGGCGUCCGGGUCGUGAUGACGGCCUGUGGGUUGUAAACCGCUUUAGCCUGUGACGAAGCGGGAGUGACGGUACUGGGUGAAGAAGCACCGGCUAACUACGUG